rnacentral:rRNA from 1 species
UACGGAGGGGGCUAGCGUUGUUCGGAAUUACUGGGCGUAAAGCGUGCGUAGGCGGUUUGUUAAGUCCGCUGUGAAAGCCCAAGGCUCAACCUUGGAAUUGCCUUUGAUACUGAGGGCCUUGAGUCCGGGAGAGGUCGGCGGAACUGCGAGUGUAGAGGUGAAAUUCGUAGAUAUUCGGAAGAACACCAGUGGCGAAGGCGGCUCACUGGACUGGUAUUGACGCUGAGGUGCGAAAGCGUGGGGAGCAAACAGG